GCAUAUCACUAAGCGGAGGAAAAGAAACUAACAAGGAUGCGCUUAGUAACGGCGAGCGAACCGCGCAAAGCCCAACUUGAAAAUCUCCCUUGGAGAAUUGUAGUCUAUAGAAGUACCCUCUGCAACGGGCCGAGCUAAAGUCUCCUGGAAAGGGGCGUCAGAGAGGGUGAGAACCCCGUAAGCUCGCGCUUAGUUGCCUCACGAGGUGCUUUCGAAGAGUCGGGUUGCUUGGGAAUGCAGCCCAAAUUUGGUGGUAAAUCCCAUCUAAGGCUAAAUACUGGCGAGAGACCGAUAGCGAACAAGUACCGUGAGGGAAAGAUGAAA
rnacentral:rRNA from 1 species